rnacentral:sRNA from 1 species
ACACUGGGUGCUUCCAGCAGGAAUGAGUGCUAAAAUGCUGGGAGGUGUCUUUAAAAUUGACUGGAUUUGCAGGCGUGAAUUACCCUUCACUAAGUCGGCUCAUCUCACCAAUCCUUGGAAUGAACAUAAACCAGUAAAGAUCGGACGUGAUGGACAGGAAAUUGAACUUGAAUGUGGAACCCAGCUUUGUCUUCUGUUUCCCCCCGAUGAAAGUAUUGACUUGUAUCAGGUCAUUCAUAAAAUGCGUCACAAGAGAAGAAUGCAUUCUCAGCCCAGAUCACGAGGACGUCCAUCCCGUCGAGAACCAGUCCGGGAUGUGGGAAGGUUAGAAACGUUCUUUGGACUGAUAAUAGGCACAUGUAUCAGAAUAACAUGAUGGAGGAAUAUGAUUCGUCAAAAGUUUGUCCUGCGGUAAAGAAGAAAGAGAAAAUCCUCAAAUCAAGCUGCAUGGACUAGUUUGUGGCUUCAUUGAGGAUUUCACAUGGUCACCUUGGUCUCAGUCAUUUUUCAAGAGGAAAAUGGGGAUCUUUCCUUAUGCAGAAAAAAGUAUAACCAGUGAUAACCAGUUUAGAUUAGAUAAU